rnacentral:rRNA from 1 species
CACCGCCCGUCGCACCUACCGAUUGAAUGAUUCGGUGAAAAUUCUGGACUUUGGUUUCCACGCCCCCGGGCGACUUAAUCGGAGAAAGUUAUUUAAACCUCAUCAUUUAGAGGAAGGUGAAGUCGUAACAAGGUUUCCGUAGGUGAACCUGCGGAAGGAUCAUUACCACUCUCUUUACCAAG